UACGUAGGGCGCAAGCGUUAUCCGGAAUUAUUGGGCGUAAAGAGCUCGUAGGCGGUUUGUCGCGUCUGCCGUGAAAGUCCGGGGCUCAACUCCGGAUCUGCGGUGGGUACGGGCAGACUAGAGUGCAGUAGGGGGAGACUGGAAUUCCUGGUGUAGCGGUGGAAUGCGCAGAUAUCAGGAGGAACACCGAUGGCGAAGGCAGAUCUCUGGGCCGUAACUGACACUGAGAGACGAAAGCUAGGGGAGCGAAUGGG
rnacentral:rRNA from 1 species